rnacentral:rRNA from 1 species
UACGGAGGGUGCGAACGUUGUCCGGAAUCAUUGGGCGUAAAGGGCGCGUAGGUGGCCCGGUCAGUUCGUGGUGAAAGCGCGGGGCUCAACCCUGCGUCGGCCAUGAAUACUGCCGCGGCUGGAGCACUGUAGAGGCAGGCGGAAUUCCGGGUGUAGCGGUGGAAUGCGUAGAGAUCCGGAAGAACACCGGUGGCGAAGGCGGCCUGCUGGGCAGUUGCUGACACUGAGGCGCGACAGCGUGGGGAGCAAACAGG